UCUCUCUCUCUCUCUCUCUCUCUCUCUGUCUCUCCCUCAGAGUCGCCCACCACUACCAGCCCAGUGCUGGGGGGACAUUUUCCACGCUGUAGCUGCAGGACCCCACCACCCUCCAUGGCUCCCCUGGCCUUGGUGGGGUUCGCGCUCCUCCUGGGGGCUCCCCCAUGCUCGGGGGCGGCCACCCCAACCCCCUCUCUGCCACCACCCCUGGCCAAUGACAGUGAUACCAGCACAGAAGCCUGCCAGGGCUCCAACCGCUGCCAGCCGGGGGUCCUGCUGCCCGUCUGGGAGCCCGACGACCCCUCGCUGGGUGACAAGGCGGCGAGGGCAGUGGUUUACUUUGUCGCCAUGGUGUACAUGUUCCUGGGCGUGUCCAUCAUCGCCGACCGCUUCAUGGCAUCCAUCGAGGUCAUCACGUCAAAGGAGAAGGAGAUCACCAUCACCAAGGCCAAUGGUGAGACCAGCGUGGGCACGGUCCGCAUCUGGAAUGAGACCGUGUCCAACCUCACGCUCAUGGCCCUGGGCUCCUCGGCGCCCGAGAUCCUGCUGUCUGUCAUCGAGGUCUGCGGCCACAACUUCCAGGCGGGCGAGCUAGGCCCGGGCACCAUCGUAGGCAGCGCUGCCUUCAACAUGUUUGUGGUCAUUGCCGUGUGCAUCUACGUCAUCCCCGCCGGCGAGAGCCGCAAGAUCAAGCACCUGAGAGUUUUCUUUGUCACUGCCUCCUGGAGUAUCUUCGCCUACGUCUGGCUUUAUCUCAUCCUUGCCGUCUUUUCCCCGGGAGUGGUCCAGGUGUGGGAGGCGCUGCUGACCCUGGUCUUCUUCCCGGUGUGCGUGGUGUUCGCCUGGAUGGCCGACAAGCGGCUGCUCUUCUACAAAUACGUGUACAAGCGCUACCGCACCGACCCACGCAGCGGCAUCAUCAUCGGCGCCGAGGGCGAUCCCCCCAAGAGCAUCGAGCUGGACGGCACGUUCGUGGGCGCCGAGGCACCGGGAGAGGUGGGCGGCCUGGGCCCCGGCCCCGCCGAGGCCCGCGAGCUGGACGCCAGCCGCCGCGAGGUCAUCCAGAUCCUCAAGGACCUGAAGCAGAAGCACCCCGAGAAGGACCUGGAGCAGCUGGUGGGCAUCGCCAACUACUACGCUCUGCUGCACCAGCAGAAGAGCCGCGCUUUCUACCGCAUCCAGGCCACGCGGCUGAUGACCGGCGCGGGCAACGUGCUGCGGCGACACGCGGUGGACGCCUCGCGCCGGGCCUCCCCAGCGGACGGCCCCGGCGAGGACGAGGACGAUGGCGCCAGCCGCAUCUUCUUCGAGCCCAGCCUGUACCACUGCCUGGAGAACUGUGGCUCCGUGCUGCUGUCUGUCACCUGCCAAGGCGGCGAAGGCAACAGCACCUUCUACGUGGACUACCGCACCGAGGACGGCUCCGCCAAGGCCGGCUCCGACUAUGAGUACAGCGAAGGCACGCUGGUGUUCAAGCCGGGCGAGACGCAGAAGGAACUGCGCAUCGGCAUCAUCGACGAUGACAUCUUUGAGGAGGACGAGCACUUCUUCGUGCGGCUGCUGAACCUGCGCGUGGGGGACGCGCAGGGCAUGUUCGAGCCCGACGGCGGCGGGCGGCCCAAGGGGCGGCUGGUGGCGCCGCUGCUGGCCACCGUCACCAUCCUCGACGACGACCACGCGGGCAUCUUCUCCUUCCAGGACCGCCUGCUGCACGUGAGCGAGUGCAUGGGCACCGUGGACGUGCGCGUCGUGCGAAGCUCCGGCGCGCGCGGAACCGUGCGCCUCCCCUACCGCACUGUGGACGGCACGGCGCGCGGCGGCGGCGUACACUACGAGGACGCGUGCGGCGAGCUCGAGUUUGGCGACGACGAGACCAUGAAAACUCUGCAGGUGAAGAUAGUUGAUGACGAGGAAUAUGAAAAAAAAGAUAAUUUCUUCAUCGAGCUGGGCCAGCCGCAGUGGCUUAAGCGAGGGAUUUCAGCUCUGCUGCUCAAUCAAGGGGAUGGGGACAGGAAACUGACAGCUGAAGAGGAGGAGGCUCGGAGGAUAGCAGAGAUGGGCAAGCCGGUUCUUGGGGAAAACUGCCGGCUGGAGGUCAUCAUCGAGGAGUCAUAUGAUUUUAAGAACACAGUGGAUAAACUCAUCAAGAAAACGAACUUGGCUUUGGUGAUUGGAACCCAUUCGUGGAGGGAGCAGUUUUUAGAGGCAAUUACGGUGAGCGCAGGUGCUGUUCGCCUGCGUGCCCCCCACCGAGUACUGCCACGGCUGGGCCUGCUUCGGUGUCUGCAUUCUGGUCAUCGGCCUGCUCACUGCCCUCAUUGGGGACCUCGCCUCUCAUUUUGGCUGCACCGUUGGCCUCAAGGACUCCGUCAACGCCGUAGUCUUCGUGGCCCUGGGCACCUCCAUCCCCGACACGUUCGCGAGCAAGGUGGCAGCGCUGCAGGACCAGUGCGCGGACGCGUCCAUCGGCAACGUGACGGGCUCCAACGCGGUGAACGUGUUCCUGGGCCUGGGCGUGGCCUGGUCGGUGGCCGCCGUGUACUGGGCGGUGCAGGGCCGCCCUUUCGAGGUGCGCACCGGCACGCUGGCCUUCUCCGUGACGCUCUUCACCGUCUUCGCCUUCGUGGGCAUCGCAGUGCUGCUCUACCGGCGCCGGCCGCACAUCGGCGGCGAGCUGGGCGGCCCACGCGGCCCCAAGCUCGCCACCACCGCGCUCUUCCUGGGCCUCUGGUUUCUCUACAUCCUCUUCGCCAGCCUCGAGGCUUACUGCCACAUCCGAGGCUUCUAGCGCAUUCCGCAGAGACUCGGCCACCCCCUGGAGACAGCUGCACUACUCCGGACACGCGGCUCCUUCGUCCUCCAGAGAUUCGGCCUUCUUGCCUGAGACUCGUCCUCCUGCCUCCUGGGGAUUCAUCUCCCCCUGUCCUCUGUCCCCACCGAUAGCCUCCUCCCUUCCCCUUGGGAGUUGUGAGUUACCCACAAUUCCAGCCCAUUCCUGUUAGUUUCUGUCUACACCCCAGGGGAAAUUUCCACCUGGAGGCCCCUCCCCAGGGAACCACCUUCCCCCUCAGUGACCCGCUAGAGAAUCUUUCAUCUUUCUCCCAGUCUUGACCUAUCCAGUAAGACUCCCUUCUUCUAGAGAACCCCUCCACCACCACCACCAUGGACCUGUUCCCAGGGCUUCAGAAGUUAGUCCUCCCUGAGGGACCCUUGAUGGGGGCUGAACCGUCCUAGGAUUUCAAGUAUCUCAGCCCUUCUCCCAGCGUUUAGGGAGCUCCAUUUAUCCCCCAGGGGAGGGGGAAGGAACGGGUGGAUGAGUGCACAAAGGGGGGCACACCUCCCCUGAUUUCUCCACUCAGGCCCUUGGGAGAUGCUAAUUCUCCAGGUUUGGAGAAGGGAGGGGAGAAGUUUGGCAUUUCACAGCUGGAGGGGGCACAUUUUGGACCUGCAACUUCUCACAUUCCAGCGCCCGCACUCUCCUCCACUACCUCUGAGAGCCCAGGCAUUCCUUGGAGGGGGGACCUGUGUGUGUAUAUAGUGUGUUUGGGAGAGGGGGGUCACGGGAGGGUGCAUGUCUUGGGGAAAGGGGGUGACAGACUUUACUUUUGUGAAGGCAGCAGACUCCCCCAGUCAUGAGAAUCUGCUUCGGGGAGGAGGCCACAAAUCAAAGGGAGUCCAGACGGUCUCCCCUGACAAUCUAGAAGGCUCAUUUUGCCCUCAGUGCCAGCAAAUCCGGGCAGGACCCUCGAAGAGGAGACCGAGGGUCCCAGAGGACCAAUGCUACAAGCCAGCAAAUGCUGCCACAUCUCUGCCUGAUGGGGAGCAGGGUUGGGUGGGAGGGUGGGACUGGGACCAGGGGAUCUGGGGGGGCAUCUUUAACUUUGGAGGCCACCCAUCUGUUGGUAGGCCAUCUGCAUUUUCUUACUGUUGAUGUUUCCUGCCCAAAGGACACACUUGGGGCGUGGGGAGUGCUGCCCACUUCUUGGGACCCUAAGGAGGACCCUGCAACCCCCAUAAUCCACGGGUUUUUAGCAUUCUGUCAUCCUCGUGCAUCGGCCCAGCAUCCCAGACCUGUUACCCACUCCCCUUCUCUACUUCCAGCUCAUCAGCACCAGUCGCUGUCUUUUCUCUGUGAUUUCUGUAAAAGUUGCCAUAAAACUUUGAAAUUCUGCCUGGAAAACAGCCUUCCCGUGGGAAAUUGGAAUUCAGAAGGAGGAAGCUAACGAGCUCUUUGAGAUUUCAGCAGUUGUGAAAUAGACCAGGUGAUCUGGGUUUUUCCAGGUCCCCAGUCCUCUGCAGGAUACACCCACACGCACCAGCCACGUUAAGUCCACACAACUUCCCCUACCACGCCCCCACUCAUCACCUGGGAGCUUCACUAGCCACGCCCCUGUUUCAUCAGCAACAAACUAUUCCUCUCCACAGGGCAUCCUGGGAACUCAAAAGACUAGGACUCUAAGUUUGUCUGAGCAGGAGAGCUGGGGUUGACGGGGGGUUUCCAGGAUAAAGCAAAUAACUUCCUCAGAAUGCUGAAAUAGGAGGAGAGGGCGCUGUGCGCGCGCGCGUGCAGACGCGCGCGGUGCUCCAGAUAAAAGACAGCCUGCAUAAAGGUGUGCAGACUUGUGAGUUACUAGUGUUUUUCGUGCUAGUGGUUAGCAUGAAUGGAGAGUGGGGAGGAGGGGAGUGAAGCGAGCUCAAGAAGACCAAUUAUAAGAUACCUUAUCAGCCAUGCAGUGGAGCUUGGAAUUUAUCCUCAGAGCAAAGGGGAGCUUUGGAAGGGAUUUCAAUGGGGGAUAGUGGGCGGGGCAGGCAGUUGAUAUCAUCUGCUUUACAUUUUCAGAUGUUCCUUUGGCUACUUGUAAGUCUGGAGGUUGGGAGAUCAGGGAAGAGGCGGGGGCAGCAGAGGAGGGUGUCCUGGAGUCGGGUGGGGGGAAGGGGAAUGGUCAGAAGGGGGUGAUUUAGAGAGAGAAUGGAUCGGGCCCCGGCCGGAAAGAGACGGUGCACUCAGCGUAGCCAGGAAGAGUUGAAUGAAAGGGAUAUUAAGGGGUGCGUAGGGUUAGGGAAAACAAAAGAGGGGAUGUACGUGAGGCCAGCAGUAGAGGGAGCAGUUACGCUCUGGGCUGGAAGAUGUGGGCCGAGGGUCCGCUGUUGAGGCUGCAGCAGUAGUGGAGGAGAGUACAGGCACCCCCAGUCCACGCCAACAGAGGAAGGGGAAAGAGAGUGAACACCCCAACCUUACUCUCCCGCUGGUGUCUCCCAUUGGCUGAACUGAACCAGAAGCUAGAGGGCAAGAGAGGUAAUAGGUGUGGUGUACACAGGGCCGUUUCUUGGGCCACAGAGCAGGAGGGAAAAAGGUGGAGAGUCGAUCCGGCAGGGGGAGCAGCGGGAAGAGCUUCCAGAGAGCGAGGUGUCUGGGCUUGGGGAACGAAGGUGGGGUAAGUCGGAAGAAUUGGCUGCUUGGAGAAUAUGCUGGAUUCCGGUGAGUACAGACUGAGCACAAGAUGCCUGCGGGGCAUCCAGAGACGUCAGAGAGGGAAGGCAUCCGGGGACACCUGGAGUCCCGGAGAGGGGCUGCACUGGAGAGAGGAAAGCCUCAGGAGAGGGCGGGGCUGCCCAGGGAGUGUGUAGUGUGAGAAAGGGGCAUGGGCAGUGCCUUGCGGGGCCCCCACAUCUAGGGCACGUGGAAAAUGGGAGACCUGUCGAAGGCAAAGGACGCGCCAGAGAGGUAGGUGGGAAACCAGGAGACCGAUGCACCUAAAGCCAGAAGAGAGUUCCAGAAUGAAGGCGUGGUAAACAGUCAAAGCCGAAGGGAGGUGGGGAGGGUGAGGACUAGGAAGUGACCCCAGGAUUUAGAGCAGUUGGGUGGACGGUGUGGGGACAGAAGGCAGGCUGCUCUGGAGUGAGGAGGGAGUGGCAGGUGGGGAAACUGAGUCAGAGCCUGUAUAGCACACUUUGGAGAAUCUGGCAGUAGAAAAGGGAGUUGCUGGAGGAAGAUGUGGGGCACAUGCGGGCUUUUCCGCCAAAGUGGGGAGAGGUGUGGAGCAGGAGGGCAUUGAACUCGGGCAUAAGAGCAUUUGGUGCCUCAGUGUCCUCAUCUAGAAAAUGGGGAUAGCAGUAACAAUGGGACUAAUGGUAGCUGUUCCACAGGGCUGUUGCGUUAAAUUAUAUAUGUAAAUUAUAUGUGAUUAUACAUAAUUUAUUAUAAUUACAUAUAGAAUUUAAUAUAAUUAUGUUUAUAUAUAGUUUUAGAAUAAUAGCUGGAACAUAGUGAGAGCUCAAUAGAUGGAAAUAGUUAUACUUUCCAGGUAUUCUUAGCUUGCUCGCUUACUUUCAUAUUUCAUUCACACACACACACACACACACACACACACACACACCCCUACCCCUACACUCCCCAUCCGGAACAAACAGCCUCAGGACGGACAGGUAGAGUCCCCAUAAACCUGCUUUCCCACCCGAGUCCCGGUUGCUAGAUCACCAAACCCUGGAAGAAGUGGACCAGGCGGAAUAUUCUUUCUUCUCCCUCCAGCCUCCUGGAUUCUUUAAUUCACUUUGUUGAUUGUUCACCGGCUCUGUGCCUGGUGCCCUGCUGUGACCCAAAUGUCCCUGCUCUCACCGGGCUCACAGUGCAGUGGGGCACAUAUGCCAAAGAGGGGUGCAAAAGGUGGUGGUCAGGAUGGGAUGUGUGAGGGCGAGGUCACUGUGUCAGGACACAGAUGGCACAGAAUUGGGUGACUGGGGUGAGUGUAAGAAGGGGACAGCAAAAGAUAUGCAGGGUAUAGGGCAACAGAUAAGGGAUGGCACAGCACCCUGGGGCUAGCAGAGGUGGGGUGUCACCCCUAAACUGAGGGACAAGAGUGACUUCUGGAACCUGGAGAGGGUGGCUGUAUGUAAGCCCUUGUAAGGGCUUCCUAUUAAUAUUUUUAUUAAUAGUACUUCGAUACAAGUUUAGAUGUGAUUUUACAGGGAUCCAAUAUAAUAAUGGCUUAAAUGAGUUUAUUUCUCUCUUUGUGUAACAGUCCACAUCUGGUAUGGCAACUCUCUUUCAUGAGGACAAUAAAACCUGCGUUUCUUCUAUCUUGUUGCUCUGACGUAGCUAGAGUAUGGCUCUCGUCUGUUUGGUCCCAGAUGGCUCACCUCCGGGGCGUCAUUCCAAUGAAAAGGAUGGCAAGGGGAGGAGAGGUGCAGGAUCCACUGUUCUCUGACUUUGCAGGUGGAGAGAUGGUCCUGGAUGACCUGGGUCGGCCCUAAACGCAAUCACGUGGCUCCUUAUAAGAGGGAGGCAGAGGGAAAUUAUACGACACGCCGAGGAGGAAGCUAUGUGAAGACCGGGCAGAGAUUUGAAGAUGCUGACCUUGAAGAUUGGAGCCAUGUGGCCACCAGCCAAGCAAUGCCACAACCCCCAGAAGCUAGAAGAGUCGGGGAAUGGAUUCUCCGCCACAGCCUUCCAAGUGACUGCAGCCCUGCUGAUACCUUGACUGUGGCCCAUUGGGACUGAUUUCG